AUUUCAUAGGGCAGAUUCUGAGGUGAAAAUUUAGUUCAUCAUUGAUUGUCCUAUUAUGAAAUCUGAAG